UACGGAGGGGGCAAGCGUUGUUCGGAAUUACUGGGCGUAAAGGGCGCGUAGGCGGCCUGCUAAGUCGAACGUGAAAUCCCUGGGCUCAACCCAGGAACUGCGUCCGAUACUGGUUGGCUUGAAUCCGGGAGAGGGACGUGGAAUUCCAGGUGUAGCGGUGAAAUGCGUAGAUAUCUGGAGGAACACCGGUGGCGAAAGCGCGAGACUGGGCCGUAACUGACGCUGAGGAACGAAAGCCAGGGGAGCGAAAGGG
rnacentral:rRNA from 1 species